GCCCCAGUAGCUUAAUAACAAAGCUCUGGUCUUGUAAGCCAAAGAUGGGAAUUAAACACCCCUGGGACA
rnacentral:tRNA from 1 species